rnacentral:rRNA from 1 species
UGGGGAAUUUUGGACAAUGGGCGCAAGCCUGAUCCAGCAAUGACGCGUGCAGGAUGAAGGCCUUCGGGUUGUAAACUGCUUUUGUACGGAACGAAACGGCGAGCUCUAAUACAGUUUGCUAAUGACGGUAACGUAAGAAUAAGCACCGGCUAACUACGUGCCAGCAGCCGCGGUAAUACGUAGGGUGCAAGCGUUAAUCGGAAUUACUGGGCGUAAAGCGUGCGCAGGCGGUUAUGUAAGACAGAUGUGAAAUCCCCGGGCUUAACCUGGGAACUGCAUUUGUGACUGCAUAGCUAGAGUACGGUAGAGGGGGAUGGAAUUCCGCGUGUAGCAGUGAAAUGCGUAGAUAUGCGGAGGAACACCGAUGGCGAAGGCAAUCCCCUGGACCUGUACUGACGCUCAUGCACGAAAGCGUGGGGAGCAAACA